ensembl:lncRNA
UUUCACUUAUUGGUUGCUCAUGGCUUAGAACAACAGUGACUUGUUAUUCCCCCCAGUCCUGUGGGUUGACUGGGCCAUUCUUUGCUGGUUCCACCUGAGCUCAUUCAGAGAUGGACUGGCCUCAGCUGGGAUGCCUGGCCCUCUCUUUCCAUGAGGCCUUUCAUCCUCAAGGAGGCUACACCUGGUUGGGCUUCCUUCUAAGAUGGUGGCAGCAUUUCUGGAGAGCACACACUUAUUAAGCUUCUGCUUGCCUCAAUGUGCUAAGUCACAUUGCCAAACCCAGAGUCAAGGUGGGACUGUAUGUGGGUGUGGAUAUCAGAAGACGUGGUUUAUUAGGGGCAGUUAAUGUAACAAGCUACCACUCUGGCUGCUCUCUUGAGAAGAGACUUGAUGAAACGAAUGGCAGAGCAAGGAGGCCAAUUAAAGGGCUAUAUAGUAAUCCAGGUGGAACCUAAGCAGUUUGAUGAUGGACAGUGCAUGAGAUGUGGAAGAGAGGGGAGUUAAGGAGGACCCCCGGAUGUUUGCCUCCAGCACGGAGUUGCUAUAUACUGAGAAGAUUCUUCUACGUGAGCCAACUGAUGAAGAUUGAAAAAUUCCACACAAUUGAUUAUCUGGAGCCAGGAAGAGGAGACAAAUGAUGCUUUGACUGAAUUCUGCAAGAUCUUUUAAAAUUAAUUCAGUUGCCAGUGGUUUGUGUGUGUAACUGCCAUCUUGGACCCAUGGGGACCAUUCUGAGCCCUAGAUCCAGGCUUUCAGAAGCAAUCUUUUCUAAUUAGAAGAUUUGCAAAGGUCUCCAGAUAAACUUCUUGAUUGACCAAGAUACUCGUGGAAAAUCUCAGUGGACCUAGGCAAACAGAAGGCGUCGAAUCAAGCUAACAAGUGUCCCCUCUGAGCCUGGCUCUGAAUGAGGUGUUGCUGAAGAUGCAGAAAAUCAGUGGGCAAUUGUCAAGUGUAGAUUGCCAAUAGCCCUUAAAUAAAAAACAGCCUCGUGUGCACCUUACAAUCUUGACAGUAUACACUCCCAGCGAUAAUGCCAUAUUUGAGAUAGGAAAAGUGUUUGUUUUAUUCAAAUUAAAAUUUAUGAAAUAUUCCAAAUAUGGAAAAAGUAGAGAUUUAUAUCAUAGACACUCAUCUAUUCAUUUUCUUUAUUUAACACAUCUUGAUCUUUCACCAUAGCCUAUUUUUUGUUUUAUUGUUGUUUACCAGCUUUAUUGAAUUACAUUUUAUAUAACAUCAAAUUCACCCAUUUCAAGCGUGCAGUUCAAGAAUUUUAGUAAUUUUACUGAGUGGUACAACCAUCACCAUAAAUCAGUUUUAGAACAUUAUAAUCCCCCCAAUAAGAUCACUCAUGUCCAUCGAGAGUUCAUCUCUGUUCCCUCUCCCAGCCCUAGGCAACAACUAACCUACUUUUUGUCUCUAUAGAUUUAUCUCUUCUGGACAUUUAACAUAUGGAAUCACACAAUACGUGGCCUUUUGCAUCUGGCUUAUUUCACUUAGCAUAGUGUUUUUGAGGUUCAUCCAUGCUGUUGUAUGUGUCAGUCCUUCAUUACUUUUUAUGACUGAAUGAUAUUCCUUGUAUGGAUACACCACAUUUCAAUUAUCCACUCACUAGGGGGUGGACGUGUAGGCUGUGACCAAUUUUUUGCUAUUAUGAAUAACGCUGCUAUGAAUGUUCAAGCGCUAUGCAGUGUUUUCAUUUCUCUUGGGUAGAUACCCGGGAAUGGGAUUGCUGGCUCUCAUGAUAGUUUACUUUCUAAGAAACUGCCAAAAUAUUUUUCAAAGUGGCUGCACCACUUUACAAUAUGUGAAAGUACCCAUUUCUUCACAUCCCGUGAACACUUGUUUUUGUCUGUCUUGUUUAUUACACUCAUUUUAGCAUGUGUGAAUGUUACCUCCUUGUAGUUUUGGUUUGCGUUUCCCUAAAUGACAAAUGAUGUUGAACAUCUCUCAUGUACAGUUAGCCAUUUGUAAAUCUUAAUUGGUGAAAUGUUUCUUCAUAUCUUUUUCCCGUUUUUAAUUGGUUUGUUGUCUUCUUAUUAUUGAGUUGUAAGUGUUCUUUAUAAUUUCUGGCUACAAGUCCUUUCUUGGAUAGGAAUUAUUGAAAACAUUUUCUCCAGGUCUGUUGCUUGUAUUUUCAUUUUCUUAAGGAUCUCUUUUAAAGUGUAAAAAUUUAAAUUUUAACAACAUCCUAUAUAGAUAUUGUUUUCUUUUAUGGACUAUGCUUUUGGUGUUGUAUCUAGGAAAUCUUUGCUUAGCCCAAGUCUUAAAGAUUGUCCCUUAUUUUUUUUUAAAGUUUAUAGCAUUUGAGUCUAUCCUCCAUUUUGAGUUAACACUUGUGUGUGGUGUGACAUGAAGCUCUAGUUCAUCUUUAUGCAUUGGUUGUUUAAUGGUCUCAGCAACAUUUGUCAAACAGGCUAUCUUUUCCCCAAUGAAUUUCCUUGGCACUUUCUUCAAAUUCAAUUGACUAUAAAUAUAAAGAUCUAUUUCUGGACUCUGAAUUCUCUUCCAUGAAUCUACCCUUAUGCCAUACUACCACUGUUUUUAUAACUAGUUUUAUAGUAAAUUUUGAAAGUGGGAAGUGAAAGUUCUCCAACUUUGUUCUUUGCAUAAUUGUUUAUGUUAAUCUAGGUGUUUUAUUGAGUAUCCCAAUCAGUGAGGGACAGCCUCAUUUCAGCACUCGUAGUCCUGGAAGUCCGUCAGCAACACCCACACUGCCGUGACCAUGGUUCUGAAAGCCAAUCAACCCCUAAACACUCCUACUGCGGAAGGUCCUCUGAUCCCCAAACUCCGUUUCCCCAAACUCUGCAAAACUCAGCUCUUAGCGCUGUUCAGAGACUAUGAUUUGCAAGUACAGCUCUCUCCUGCUUAGCAAGGAAUAACUUCAGCAUCUUUGUUCCACCGUAGUGUGAGUGACAGUCUCUUCCUUCACGAUUGGAGGCGCUCUGAUAUUGGUUUGAAGACCCUUACUCAGUGGCAUUCUGUGGGAACCUCACAUUAACUGGUAUGCUCAUCAAGCCCCUUUUACUUCACCCUGAUCAUCCUCUACCUUCUCUGGGAGGUGAGUCGUUCCCAACAGUGAUCUGAGCUCUGACGGGUUUUAUGAGGUCUCACUGCUGAAUUUAUUGUACAGUUCUUGGAUUUGUAAGCAAAUAGGUGUUUAUUGAAGGGAAAUAAAUGUUUUGGUUUGGAGGUAAACUGUUUUGUUCGUCCUCCCUCCAUUAUUCCUUUUAUUCAUCCAUUGCUUUAUUUACUUUCACUUUUCAUUUUUCUAUUUAUGCAUCAUCUUGGCCUUCAUGUUUUUCUGUUGUCCUUGAUUGUCUUGUGUAUGUUGAGUGUUACAAGGAAGUACUCCAUAGGUUACAGAUGGAGGCAUAAGCUCAUUAAGCCUCUGGUCCACACUGUCUCCACUGACUAAUAGUUAUGGGUCCAUUAGACCCAUGACUAAUGGUUCAUCAGCCCAGCAACCAAUUCAAGCAGAAGCAAUUGGUCAACAUUUACCUUGAGUACCUCAGCAAAACCUUUAUAAUGAUGCUUCAUGUGUCAUCGAAUUGUGAUAUAAGAUCAGCGCAGUUCCUUCAUAGACUCUGUUUAGUUGGGUGUGUGAGACACCAUUCGUCAUGAUGCCAUUUUGACUCUUCACCAUGGCCCAUUUUUCGGUUUGUCAUGGGUUCAUCUGCAUCAAAACCAAAGUGUCCACCUGGCAGAAGCGCUGCUUCCUAAAUGCCCUCUCACUACAAUCUUAGUUCUUGCACCUAUCUUGGUAAAAGGUGGCAUUUCCCUAAGAAUGGUUUAGAAUUCAAUGGUCUUUAUGGGAAACUUCCCGUAUGUCAAAAAAACAAUAGAUUUAGGAGGAACUCCAAAGGAGAGGCAAAAUACCUACUAUUCAAUGGCUGGCUUCUUUGAUUGAUAUUCCAAGGCCUCAAAAUGAAAUACUGACUCCCAAAUAACCUCUCUUAAGGACUUCAUAACAAAGGCAAGAACAUAACUACUUGCACUUGGAACUUUCUGAAACUCUCCCCCUUUGUUGCUCUCUCCCACCAGCGUUACCAUCACCAAGGAUGUACUACUUACAUCCCUUCUUUGCCUUCUGCUCGUUCCCUGACCUCAUUAACAAACUAUCCUCUCCUCAGGGUUCCCCCUCCCAGGUAAAGAAAAAGCACAUUGUACAAUAUGCCCUUCCAAUUGCCAUCUCAGAAGGUCUAGAGAUGGUUGAGGACUAUAAUAGGGACUUCCUCAAAUCUCAGGAAAAUGAACAGAAAUCUGCUACAGAAUGCAAGAUUUUGUUA